ACGGGUGAGGAAUGCAUCGGAAUCUACUCUGUCGUGGGGGAUAACGUAGGGAAACUUACGCUAAUACCGCAUACGACCUACGGGUGAAAGCAGGGAUCUUCGGACCUUGCGCGAUUGAAUGAGCCGAUGCCCGAUUAGCUAGUUGGCGGGGUAAGAGCCCACCAAGGCGACGAUCGGUAGCUGGUCUGAGAGGAUGAUCAGCCACACUGGAACUGAGACACGGUCCAGACUCCUACGGGAGGCAGCAGUGGGGAAUAUUGGACAAUGGGCGCAAGCCUGAUCCAGCCAUACCGCGUGGGUGAAGAAGGCCUUCGGGUUGUAAAGCCCUUUUGUUGGGAAAGAAAAGCAUUCGGUUAUACCCGAUUGUUCUGACGGUACCCAAAGAAUAAGCACCGGCUAACUUCGUGCCAGCAGCCGCGGUAAUACGAAGGGUGCAAGCGUUACUCGGAAUUACUGGGCGUAAAGCGUGCGUAGGUGGUUGUUUAAGUCUGUCGUGAAAGCCCUGGGCUCAACCUGGGAAUUGCGAUGGAAACUGGGCGACUAGAGUGUGGCAGAGGGUAGUGGAAUUCCUGGUGUAGCAGUGAAAUGCGUAGAGAUCAGGAGGAACAUCCGUGGCGAAGGCGACUGCCUGGGCCAACACUGACACUGAGGCACGAAAGCGUGGGGAGCAAACAGGAUUAGAUACCUGGUAGUCCACGCCCUAAACGAUGCGAAC
rnacentral:rRNA from 1 species